rnacentral:rRNA from 1 species
UGAGGAAGAUAAUGACGGUACUCAACAAGGAAGUGACGGCUAACUACGUGCCAGCAGCCGCGGUAAAACGUAGGUCACAAGCGUUGUCCGGAAUUACUGGGUGUAAAGGGAGCGCAGGCGGGAAGACAAGUUGGAAGUGAAAUCUAUGGGCUCAACCCAUAAACUGCUUUCAAAACUGUUUUUCUUGAGUAGUGCAGAGGUAGGCGGAAUUCCCGGUGUAGCGGUGGAAUGCGUAGAUAUCGGGAGGAACACCAGUGGCGAAGGCGGCCUACUGGGCACCAACUGACGCUGAGGCUCGAAAGUGUGGGUAGCAAACAGGAUUAGAUACCCUGGUAGUCCACACCGUAAACGAUGAUUACUAGGUGUUGGAGGAUUGACCCCUUCAGUGCCGCAGUUAACACAAUAAGUAAUCCACCUGGGGAGUACGACCGCAAGGUUGAAACUCAAAGGAAUUGACGGGGGCCCGCACAAGCAGUGGAGUAUGUGGUUUAAUUCGACGCAACGCGAAGAACCUUACCAAGUCUUGACAUCCUGCGACGAUGCUAGAAAUAGUAUUUUCCUUCGGRACGCAGAGACAGGUGGUGCAUGGUUGUCGUCAGCUCGUGUCGUGAGAUGUUGGGUUAAGUCCCGCAACGAGCGCAACCCUUAUGGUCAGUUACUACGCAAGAGGACUCUGGCC